rnacentral:rRNA from 1 species
UACGUAGGGUGCAAGCGUUAAUCGGAAUUACUGGGCGUAGAGCGUGCGCAGGCGGUUGUGCAAGACCGAUGUGAAAUCCCCGGGCUCAACCUGGGAACUGCAUCCGAAACUGCCUUGCUCGAGUAUGGGAGAGGGAAGUGGAAUUUCCGGUGUAGCGGUGAAAUGCGUAGAUAUCGGAAGGAACAUCAGUGGCGAAGGCGACUUCCUGGACCAAUACUGACGCUCAGGUGCGAAAGCGUGGGGAGCAAACAGG